rnacentral:rRNA from 1 species
GAAAAGAAACUAACAAGGAUUCCCCUAGUAACUGCGAGUGAAGCGGGAAAAGCUCAAAUUUAAAAUCUGACGGUUGUUCUGGCUGUCCGAGUUGUAAUCUAGAGAAGUGUUACCCGCGCUGGACCGUGUACAAGUCUUCUGGAAUGGAGCAUCAUAGAGGGUGAGAAUCCCGUCUUUGACAUGGACUACCAGGGCUUUGUGGUGCGCUCUCAAAGAGUCGAGUUGUUUGGGAAUGCAGCUCAAAAUGGGUGGUAAAUGCCAUCUAAAGCUAAAUAUUGGCGAGAGACCGAUAGCGAACAAGUACCGUGAGGGAAAGAUGAAAAGAACUUUGGAAAGAGAGUUAAACAGUACGUGAAAUUGCUGAAAGGGAAACGCUUGAAGUCAGUCGCAUCGACUGGAAAUCAACCCUGCUUUUGCUUGGUGUAUUUUCUGGCUUGAUGGGUCAGCAUCAAUUUUGGUCGCUGGAUAAAGGCUUGGGGAAUGUGGCAUCUUAGGAUGUGUUAUAGCCCUUGGUUGCAUACAGCGGUUGGGAUUGAGGAACUCAGCACGCCGCAAGGCCGGGUCGGCUUCGACCACGUAUACGUGCUUAGGAUGCUGGCAUAAUGGCUUUAAUCGACCCGUCUUGAAACACGGACCAAGGAGUCUAACAUGCCUGCGAGUGUUUGGGUGGAAAACCCAUGCGCGCAAUGAAAGUGAAAAAAGUUGAGAUCCCUGUCGUGGGGAGCAUCGACGCCCAGACCAGACCUUUUGCGACGGAUCUGCGGUAGAGCAUGUAUGUUGGGACCCGAAAGAUGGUGAACUAUGCCUGAAUAGGGUGAAGCCAGAGGAAACUCUGGUGGAGGCUCGUAGCGAUUCUGACGUGCAAAUCGAUCGUCAAAUUUGGGUAUAGGGGCGAAAGACUAAUCGAGCCAUC